AAGUCGAGCGGACAGAUGGGAGCUUGCUCCCUGAUGUUAGCGGCGGACGGGUGAGUAACACGUGGGUAACCUGCCUGUAAGACUGGGAUAACUCCGGGAAACCGGGGCUAAUACCGGAUGGUUGUUUGAACCGCAUGGUUCAGACAUAAAAGGUGGCUUCGGCUACCACUUACAGAUGGACCCGCGGCGCAUUAGCUAGUUGGUGAGGUAACGGCUCACCAAGGCGACGAUGCGUAGCCGACCUGAGAGGGUGAUCGGCCACACUGGGACUGAGACACGGCCCAGACUCCUACGGGAGGCAGCAGUAGGGAAUCUUCCGCAAUGGACGAAAGUCUGACGGAGCAACGCCGCGUGAGUGAUGAAGGUUUUCGGAUCGUAAAGCUCUGUUGUUAGGGAAGAACAAGUGCCGUUCAAAUAGGGCGGCACCUUGACGGUACCUAACCAGAAAGCCACGGCUAACUACGUGCCAGCAGCCGCGGUAAUACGUAGGUGGCAAGCGUUGUCCGGAAUUAUUGGGCGUAAAGGGCUCGCAGGCGGUUUCUUAAGUCUGAUGUGAAAGCCCCCGGCUCAACCGGGGAGGGUCAUUGGAAACUGGGGAACUUGAGUGCAGAAGAGGAGAGUGGAAUUCCACGUGUAGCGGUGAAAUGCGUAGAGAUGUGGAGGAACACCAGUGGCGAAGGCGACUCUCUGGUCUGUAACUGACGCUGAGGAGCGAAAGCGUGGGGAGCGAACAGGAUUAGAUACCCUGGUAGUCCACGCCGUAAACGAUGAGUGCUAAGUGUUAGGGGGUUUCCGCCCCUUAGUGCUGCAGCUAACGCAUUAAGCACUCCGCCUGGGGAGUACGGUCGCAAGACUGAAACUCACAGGAAUUGACGGGGGCCCGCACA
rnacentral:rRNA from 1 species